rnacentral:tRNA from 1 species
ACCGGUGGUAGCUCAGAUGGAUAGAGCAGGAUCUUGAUACGGUCCAGGUCGCGGGUUCAAGUCCCGCUCAUCGCUUCCA